CCACAACCACACGUUAAACCUUCCUUUGGAAGGUUGGGAGUCUAUAAAGAAACCAGGGACCCUUGGACUGGAGCUUUCUCCAGUAUUGUUUAGGAAUGCAAUUUUAGCAAACCCUAUAGUCUCUCUGACUUUAACCCGCACAAAGUCUUUCGUUCACCAUACUAAAAACAUUCGUCAACAAAGUCUUUCCCGACCACCUCCUCCUUCUCCUUCAGCACAAUGACAUCUCUUUCUCCAUGUCUGGCACAAGUUUUCUACUGAAAGGAUUAUUGGAAUGGAAGGGAUAGGAAAGAAUACAUCAUCAAUGAUUGAUUCAGCCGUAAUUGGUCGGGUUAUAUUACUUGUUAAUAUGAUCAAGUCGAUUUCAGGUUGGGUCAUUUUACCCAUUUAUUUUAACGGGUGUUACACGACACGACCCGUUAAGAUAUUGAGUAUGACACUAAAAUGACACGAACACGGAAAACACUACAUGAAUGCCAAAUCUACUUUUUUCCAUGUGUUUUACUCUGGGGUCUCACAACACCUUGGAAAUGACUUUUUUCGUCAAAUCACAUCAUGAUCCCAUAUUUUUAUUACUUUUUCUCACAUUACAAACCAAAAUGUCGCACUAACUAGCAUUGAAGCAUUUCGUGCUAACUAGCAUUGCACCUAUAUUUUUUUUACUUUGUUACCAUUUUCUUCUCCUACGCAAGCCUUCGCUAUAUUCACUCUACAAAUGUCGUUCCUAAUCGUUGUUGGGGUUUUGGCCCUUAUAAUGGCCAUUGGAUUUCUUAUUUGUAUAUUGAUUCCUGUGUACGUUACGUUUGUGGUGGAACUAGUACACAAUCGGAUAUUGUCAGGCUCUUCGUUGCCUGUGAGUUGCAAAUCGCCGCCUGUUGGUCCCCAAAUCCUCACUCCAGUUUGCCAAUGAGCUGCAAAUCUCCGAAGUUACACACUCUGGAGGAGCUAGGAUUCCCACAAGUGUCCACCUGAGCAAGCUCUUGGCGAAAUGUUGCGGAAUGAACGGCAAGCAUAAAUUAAUUUGAUUUUUUGUAUUUUUUUCUUGCUAAUGUAGAGAUUUGUGUGGUAACUAACUUUAAAUUCUGUAUGAAAUAUAUAAGUUUUGACAAAUUAAUGUAUCGUAUUUCUUGCUAAUUUAGAGACUUUGUGUUUUGUCGAUGGACUGCCCGAGGCAAAUGGGAACUGUGUAGGAGUUUGGAAAUUAUAGAAGAUCCUACUUACAUGCUAAAAAAAAAAAUGACCCUAUUUUGACAGAUUUUAUGCAUCAGAUUUCAUGCUUUGAUGACGCAUGAUUUUGUUAUUGGAUUGAUUUAUGUUAGUAUGUUAGUAUAUUAUAAUUUUGCCUCGUAACGUAUGAUUUUGUUAUUGCACUGUUUUUCUUGGCAAUGGUUACAAGUUUCAAUUAUUUUUGUGUCUAUAACCAGGUACAACAUUUUUCCGGAAGUGGGAGAAAGCUCCUAUUGUAAGAAAAUCGAGGAAAAGAGAGUGGGAAAACGAUGGGAAUGCGAUAGGUGUGGGGAUAAUAAGGGAAUGCAUGCCUAUCAUCUUAGAGAACUUGGCAUUGUAUAAAAAGAGGGGUAAUUUCUUUGUUUUUUUUGCUAUUUUGAAAUAUGGGAACGGAGCCCUCCCAAAUCUUGUUUAUUAAAGUAAAUUAUAGCUUUAGGUGAUUGGGAAAAGAGGGGGAAUUUCUUUGUUUUUUGUUUUUUGUUUGGCUAUUUUGAAAUAUGGGAACGGAGCGCUUCCCAAAUCUUGUUUAUUAAUGUAAAUUAUACUUUAGGUGAU